rnacentral:misc_RNA from 1 species
UCCAUAUGCUUGCGUCGGGAUAUAUUGGAAAUAUAAUCACUAUCAGCGAGGACGAGCGUUGCGUUCUGAGCUAUCUUUAAUAUAUUUGCUGUCGACAUGGUCUGCGAUUGUUAUUGAAAUCGAUGGUUAUUAAGGGCGGCCAUUUUAAUACAUCCCCAUUACUUUCCACAUAUAGCAAUUAUAUGUCAUCACGCGGGGGAGAACUAGGAGGUCGAAUGGUGUGAGCGUGACUGGAAUAAAAUAUCGAUAGCAAGAAUUAAAAAGGUGCGCGGACGUUGGCACGUCUCGAGGGCGACCCCCGAUAUCCCGAUAAUAGACAGUAAAAGUAUAAUGCAUGGUGAUAAAAGAUAACUUCACCCCGAGAUAAUAGUCCUGCGAAAGGGAAUUCGAUUUUUGAGAACAUCCUGCGAUAAAACUAUAAGAUGAUCUGUGAAAUUAUUAGGAGAUCCUUAAGGGUUUCAGUGCGUUUCCCGCGUCUUUAAAAGUCGCGAGCUCAGAGAAAUUUGUGAGGAUAUUUAUUUUAAACAAACACUGCCGAUUUUUCAAACAGUUUGACGUGCUUGCGUUGAUCCUGUGAGUUUAAGUGAUACUCGAUAUUAGCAGCAAAAUUUUAAGUGCGACACCAUCGAUUAAUUUUACUGUGGGACAUCCUGUGAGUCAUCGAGAAUUAUUGAAGGAAGUGCUGUACGUUCGUGAAACUCGUGUCGUCUUUGCGUCAUUCAUCUUCUCUCUUACGCAUCUUUCAUGUCAAAAAUAGAACUCUGUGCGUCGCGAAAUUCCUUCUCGGACACGUCAAUAUUGGUGCUCGUAUAACGAAGAAUAAAUCAUAAAACGAGCAUCGAGGGAAGCUGCGAUCAUCACUCGGCAUGAAGGACAUGCAUUGGCUCGUUUGCACCUGCAUCCUCACGGCGACGACGGUGCUUUCUUGCCGGCAGAGCGAAUUUCAGUGCGCCAACGGGCACUGCGUCGCCCUCAACAAAGUUUGUAACGUUGUGGACGACUGUGGUGAUGGGAGCGACGAGACGCGUCCAUGCUCGCCUUGCAAUAAAACGUACUAUGGCGAUGUGGGGAAGACGUACGAUCUGGAAUUGCAUCGACCGAAGGAAGAUAAGGUGCCUUACAUUUGCAAGCUCACCUUCAACGCGCCAGGUGACGAUUUCGGUGAUAUCGUGCAGUUGACCUUCGAUAGCUUUACUCUAGGCAAAUUCGUAUCGUUCACCGCGGCAGGAUGUCCCGACGGGUCCCUACAAAUCUCAGAAGUGGAGCGUCCCGACGUCGGCGGACUUUGGUGUGGCACGUCCUGGGGACCCGCAAUCUACUACAGCGAAACACCCAGCGUCUCGAUCAUCCUCAAGUUGCUCAGGCUCAGCAAAGAUCAGACGGGAUUCAACUUCGACUUUAGAAUGGCGUACAAGAUGAUCAAGAAGUCCGACGCGGUGGUACGCUACGGAAAUCCCUUCGUCGGAAUAACGCAGGUCGUCGGAACGCCGGCGUCGACCGAGCGCACGUCCGCCGAGUACGCGAACACGUCGAUGGCGAUGCCGGUGCAAAUGGUCGAGCAACACGUGCCAUCACCUACGAAACCAAGCUCCGAGCAGUUCUUAGGGGACCUAAUAUCCGGGACUUAUUGCUCCCGUAUAUUCACCGACUGCGACCGGAAGAAGUGCAGAUUGCAGUCGCCUAACUUCCCCGGUCUCUAUCCUCGCAAUCUCACCUGUUAUUACGCGGUGAGACAGCACGAGGUACCGGCGGGCAAGCAUGCUUUAAUACACGUAAAACAGCCCCGAGGCCAAUUGGUAGCUGUAAGAGCGCGACCAGCAACUCAAGCCGAGGCGCCACCCCGGGAACUGCGUCUCUGGCAAGAUUGCGACGUCGUUCAGGACUACGUAACAGUGUAUGACGGAUACACCACUAGGGAGCCCGUGAUCUUAAAAUUUUGUGGCGGCGGGGAGCCGGUGCCGGAGGCCAUCAGCAGCGGUCCGGAAAUCCUUGUGGAGUUUACUACCUCUCCUUAUGGCACCUUCUUACAUCCGACGCCGCCCCAUUCUCUACAUGGGUUUCAAUUAGAAGUGCAAGUCACGUUCGUAGAUGCCGAAUCGCCGACCUACGCCAAGAAUAAGCGUUGUGAAUUCUGGUUGAGGGGCACCGGUGGCGGCAUCCUGGCGUCGCCACGUCACUCACUGCCAAGAAACAGCACCUGCCUGUAUCAUCUUCGUGGAGCUGGUCCCACUUUGCCGAGUCCGACGCCGCCGCGGCCGCUACCGAAGUUUCCAGAACAAAGACCCGGUACAGUCUGGAGGAGACCAGCCCCGAGACCACCGCAGCCGCAAUUCCGCGUCUGGCUAUCUAUCCUCAAAUUCCACGUAGGCACCAGUCUGUCUAGCACCGACGAGGAUUGCUCGACGACGCUGAUGGUCUGGGAUGGCGAGAUGAUGCCGUUAUCGGAAUGCAACGAUGUUGUUUGUGAAAAAGAACGUCAACGUUACGCUGAAAGAAUGGGCGAUCCAAUUCAACCCGUUCUUGCGCGUCCCUCGAGCAAUACCACAUUGUUAGCGAGAUAUUGUAAGGACAAAGUGCCGAAGACUUGCGAUCAUGCUAUUCUACAGAACACCAGUCGUCCGUGUUCUUUGGUAGAAAGUUUCGUCUCCUCUGGCAGUAGUCUAACUAUAGAGAUGCGUAUGGUCGAGUCAACAGCGCUUAGACCUGUAAACUUUCGCGCUAUGUACGAAUUCGUCGAUCUUCACCAGGAUGGCGACCCUUACGGCAGCGGUCCGUGUUCUCGCAUUUUCUACAGUCGAACUCGAGACCAUUAUUCAGAUCGUAAAUUUCAAGGACCGCGCGACAUAUUCCUAUAUGGUCGCGGAGGAUCGAAGAACAUAAGCUGCGUGUACCGUUUCGAAGGAGAACACGACGAGGUGGUGAAGCUGAGGUUCAACAAGCUUCUCAAUGGAAAUCGCACCUGCCGCAGCGUUGGUAACUCUGAUUUCAAUAGGCUGCUCUGCGUUGACUCUGAGAACUUCUCGGUUAAGGUGCUUGAUUUACCCUGGCCAAAUGCGCCGCCUAUCCAGCGAGAUUGUCUCUGUUCGAAUCGAUCGUUACCCAUCAAUAUCAAAUCUACCUCUAAUAUUGCCGAGGUACAUUUCAAUGUUCUAUCUAUGGACGCCUUGGAUGAUUACAAUAAUCUCUUCUUCGAGGGCACCUGGGACUUCGUCAAGACGAUGCCUUGCAUGCAGAAACGUAGAGUUAGGGGGCCGUCUGGUGAAAUUAAAUACACACCACCAAUCGACGAUGACGAGAAAAAUUGCGAGAACCAGCCGUGGCUAAUUGAUCCUGGUCCGGGUCAGUAUUUAUACGUGAAAAUGGACGGAGUAAUUGUAUCGAAUAAUACGAAGUGCGCGACCAAGAAUCGCAUCAUCGUGUACACAGGUGGAGCGAUACACGUAUCGGUAUGCCCGAAACCACCUGCUGACUCGAGUCAUCAUGUGGUAGAGGUGUUUAGCGACGGUUGGGCUGUCAGCAGCAACGCGAUGAUCCUCGCACCGGGACAGGAUCCAAUCAGGACUAUCGCCGUGGAAUUCAUCAUAAAAGAACCAGCUUCCUACAUUGUGACGUGGCUCGAGCUCACUAGAAGACCGUCGGUGACGUCAACGGCAGGUCUACAAAUGUCGCGGGAUUGUGAGCAACGAUGCCCGGAGCUGGACGCCUGCAUAAACGCCUCGCUAUGGUGCGACGGAGUGUCCCAUUGUCCAUCCGGCUACGACGAGGCCCUGACGCAUUGCUCCGUGUUGCUGCAACUGCCGCCGUUGCAACUAGCUCUGGGCGCGCUCUUUGUAAUCACCGUCCUCGGUGUCAUUUGCUUCAUCGUCUGGCGGGCCUGCCGACGGCGCGGUCGCCGUUCGAUAUCCCAGCAUCGUCUGAAGAGCAUCUCCUCCGAGACGGCGAUAAUCGACGGCAAAGAAGUGAUAUGCUGACACAGCGACAGUUCUGUGCGUUACGUCGAGGUCGACCGGGUCACCACUGUGUGACGAUCGCCGUCGUCCACGUCGUCGUCGGUAUGGGUUCCGACGGUCCUCUAUAGAUCAGCGGUCAGACUCUGCUCGGCUUUAUUCUCCUGAAGAAGUCGCCGAGCCGGCCGCCACCGGAGGAUCCGCGGAACUGCCUCCACGUAACGCGCAGAACUGUCGCGUGCAAGAGAUUUGGGACGUUAGGUGGAUAAACCGGAGCUCAUCUAUGAUCAGAAAACGCGUUCGAUGCUCGAUGACUCGGGCGAGUGGGAGAACGCUUUUUUUUUGCCGAACGAACACUUUCGUUCCCGGUCGGUUGUUCUUGGGAGGGGACGUCGUGAAUUGUAAAGCAGCGACUGGAACGUGCUUAGGAUUAUAAGUUCGGUGAUGUCUACGUCGGAGCACAAAACAGCGCGAAGUAAAACGUGUAACGGCGGAUUAAUCCGGCGAUGUGAUGUAAUGUUUAUGACGUAUAGCUUUGGUCAGUACGUUACAACGCACGCACAGUCGUCUACAUCUAUUUUUUAAGUAAAUUUCUAACAAUAUACUGCCAGUGGAAUUUUCUCAUUUUAAAAGACUGAAUCGUUUUGUAACUUUUUAAAUAAAAAAAAAAUAAAUAAAUUUUAACGUAUCUGAGAUACUUGUUUUCGAUUGUCAAUUUUUAACAGACGCGUGAAAUCAAGACAACUUUCAGCAGACGCGCGAUCGAGUUCACUGUCGAGGCCUCGAUCCAUCUUCGCAGACAUCGAAAUAAUCACUGCCGCGAUAACCGGCGGGUUCCGGAAGUUCCCGAAUUCUGAUACUUUCGUUAUCUUCGCGUGCAAGAUCUUAUUAUUCUUGCGCGAGAAGCAUUAUUACUUCUCGAAGUACCGUUACACGUCCCAUCCCGGAUCCACGAGAAAGUUUUAAUGAUUCCCCGUCGAGCUGCCCGAAAAUCAUCUCAAAUGAGGAGAAAAAAGUUGGAGAGAGAGAGAGAGAGAGAGAAUCGCGUAAUGUAGGUCGCAGAGAAACUAAAGUGAAACUACUUUAACGAGGACAAUAAGUAAUAAAAUCCUAGUAAUAUGUCGCUAUUACGGUAGAAUGGCUUAGUGACGAUCGAACGACGCUGCGCCUUGAUUGAACUUCGACGAUUAGUGCAGCUGAAAGAUUAUGUAGUAUGGGAUUGCCAUUUUAACGCAAUGCCGAGAACGCUAUAAGGUAAACGAUGCGACGGGGAAAGCUUAGCAGAUCAAUAAUGCGUUGUUAGGGAAUUAUAGCAAGUUAUUAUAAGCCAGUUUCAUCAACAUCGCGUUGACCUCAACCGCGUUUUAACGGUUAAGUUCGAUGCACCUCUGAUUCUAUUAAAGACGAUAAUUAACAGAUGUCGAUGAAACUGGCCUAGUAUUACCUUAUCUCAUUUACAUUAACAUCACUUAGAAGAUAAAAUCGUCUUACAUAUAUAGAGCCACUUUUUUCCAAUUAACAGAUACACAAAGUAUUUAUAUUUGAUAUUACACAACAUGUCUCGCGAACGUUAUCGAGAUAACGCUCGAGUGAUCGUAGCAGAACAAAUUUUCGCAUCGAUGACGUUAAUUUUCCAAGGCGCCACGUCGGUCCGAUUGACACGUCUCGAUUAAAAACACCUCGUUCGGAAAUCCGAGACAUCGAGCGUCGCGCGCAACAUGUUAGUACUAAAAACGUUAGGUCUCCUUGAGAAUAAGAGUAGACAAGCAAUUUUAGAGCCGAGGCGAACUCCUCCUGUCUCGUCUCGUGUUCCAUACUUUUCUUUUCUUCUGGUCGCGCGUGACAUAUUCACACAACAUUGUCUGUAAAAAAUAGAUAAUUCAGAAUGGUUGACGCGCACGUUGCGUGUCAAAUCGUCGCAACGUUACUAGAUAAUAAAUCAAGAUGUCGAUCGAGAGAGGUGUUAAAUAUUUAACGCAAUGUGACGUACUAUAUUGCGGCCGUGGUGACGCAAAAAAACUUUAACGUUGCCACUUAUUGUUUACUGCCAAAAGUAGUCGAUUAUACCUCGCCGACAGCGAAUAAAAGUUUCGAAUAUUACAUUUACAUGCAUCAUAUAAAUGUAUUACAGUUACAUGUGUUCGGCAUUGUUUAUGGAAUCCGAUCAGUUUUCUAUAGAUCGUUUUAUUGCGCUAACUGUUAUUAUUUUGUUUAAAAAAUUGCGAUAAGAUACCGAACACACGAUACGGGAAUUGCAAGGAUUUCCUUUUCGUAUCAUGGCCGCAGACUUCUUUCAGACGUCUGCAUUGCGCUCAGGUUUCAUUUCGACGUGAGCAGUGCAUGAAGUUGCAACUUAAACUACGAGUGAGAUGGAUAAAGUAAUUCGUGUGAUGAAAAGGGAGAAAAUUUCGCUCACUCAAUUGACUGUAGUAAGCGAAGAAAUAAAAUCCUGAUCAAUUUUACGAGAGUUCUGAAUUAUCGAUCAGAAAUAUAUGUCCUGAUUGUGGGAAUGCAGCGUUAUCGCAACGAGCUCACGUUGAAACGCAGCCUCAGCCGACGACGAAAAGUUUCAGCUAGAGAUAUACUGACCAAGUUUCAAGCGAUAGCCGACUUUAGGCGACUUAAUUAUUCAUUUUAGCGACAUCACCUCGGAAAGGGGGUGGAUAAUAUGUAGACUUCAGUAG